rnacentral:rRNA from 1 species
UACGUAGGGGGCUAGCGUUGUCCGGAAUCAUUGGGCGUAAAGAGCGUGUAGGCGGCCCGGUAAGUCCGCUGUGAAAGUCGGGGGCUCAACCCUCGGAUGCCGGUGGAUACUGUCGAGCUCGAGUACGGAAGAGGCGAGUGGAAUUCCGGGUGUAGCGGUGGAAUGCGUAGAGAUCCGGAAGAACACCGGUGGCGAAGGCGGCCCGCUGGGCAGUGGCUGACGCUGAGGCGCGACAGCGUGGGGAGCAAACAGG